GUGAGGAAUAUUGGGCAAUGGGCGAAAGCCUGACCCAGCCACGCCGCGUGAGUGAUGAAGGCCUUCGGGUUGUAAAGCUCUGUGGGGAGGGAAGAAAAAGCGGGAGAGUAACUGCUCUCGUGUUGACGGUACCUCCUUAGCAAGCACCGGCUAACUCUGUGCCAGCAGCCGCGGUAAUACAGAGGGUGCAAACGUUGCUCGGAAUUACUGGGCGUACAGCGCGUGUAGGCUGACAUGCAAGUCGGGUGUGAAAUCCCAGGGCUCAACCUUGGAACUGCACUCGAAACUGCACGUCUUGAGUACUGGAGAGGGAAGCGGAAUUCCGGGUGUAGAGGUGAAAUUCGUAGAUAUCCGGAGGAACACCAGUGGCGAAGGCGGCUUCCUGGACAGUAACUGACGCUGAGACGCGAAAGCGUGGGGAGCAAACAGGAUUAGAUACCCCAGUAGUCA
rnacentral:rRNA from 1 species